AGACAAACGUUGAUCCGGAGUUACUGGGGCGUAAAGGGCGGUGUAAGGCGGUUAGUUAAGUCUGGGUCGUGAAAGCUCUACGGCUAAACCGGGAGAGGUCGUUGGAUACUGGCUGACUAGAGGACGGUAGAGGCGUGUGGAAUUCCGGGUGUAGUGGUGAAAUUCGUAGAUAUUCGGAAGAACACCAGUGGCGAAGGCGGCUCGACUGGUCCGGUACUGACGCUGAGGUGCGAAAGCGUGGGAGCAACAGG
rnacentral:rRNA from 1 species